ACCCUCUAUGAUUAUGAUUUUGUCUCAUAUUUGCUUGGUGGUCUUGACUUCUCCUAUGAUCCUUUAGUCACAUCCAUCACCACUCGUGUGGAUCCCCCCCUCUUGAGGACAUUUAUAGUCAUCUGCUUAGUUUCGAAC